AUGUUGCCAAGGCUAGUCUCAAACUCCUGGGUUCAAGCGAUUCGUCCACGUCGGCCUCCCAAGGUACGCAGAAGAGAGAGUCAGAAGAGGAGAAGGCGAUGUGAAGGAGGAGGCAGAGAUUGGAGCAAUGGGGCUACAAGCCAAGGAAUGCUGACGAAUGACCUACAGCUGCCAGAGCUGGAGAACUCAAGGAAUGGAUUUGCUCCUAGAGCCUUCAGAGAGAGUGUGGCCCUGUAUAUUGAUUUUGGAGUUUGGGCCUCCAGAACUGCGAAAUAAUAAUUUUCUGUUGUUUUAAGUUGCCAGCUUUGAGGGCAUUUGUUGUGGCAGCUACAGGAAGUUGAAAUAUGGAUGGUCAACUUCAACAUCAACAGUGGUACAUCAAAUUGAUAUCAUAUACUCUUUUUUUUUUUUUUUUUUUUUUUUUUUUUUUUGAGACGGAGUCUCGCUGUGUCACCCAGGGUGGAGUGCGGUGGCCGGAUCUCAGCUCACUGCAAGCUCCGCCUCCCGGGUUUUUAUGCCAUUCUCCUGCCUCAGCCUCCCGAGUAGCCGGGACUACAGGCGCCCGCCACCUCGCCCGGCUAGUUUUUUGUAUUUUUUAGUAGAGACGGGGUUUCAACGUGUUAGCCAGGAUGGUCUCGAUCUCCUGACCUCGUGAUCCGCCCGUCUCGGCCUCCCAAAGUGCUGGGAUUACAGGCUUGAGCCACCGCGCCCGGCCUGAUAUCAUAUACUCUUGAUAAGGUAUUUGGAGAAUAGCACUUCACCUCAUCUAAACAUCCAUAACCAUAGUCUAACUAACCAUGAUCUAAACCUUAACUAAAUUCAACUUGAGGGACAUUUUACAAUACAUCUGGUCAGUACUUCCCAAAAUUGUGAAGGGCAUCAAAAAUUAGGAAAAUCUCAGGAACUAUCACAGACCAGAGGAGGCCAAGGAGGCAUGAAGGAGACUAAAUGUAAUGUGAUAUUCUCGAUGGAAUCCUGGAACACAGAAAGGACAUUAGGGGAACGCUAAUGAACUCCAAAUAAAGUCUGCAGCUUAUUAUUUAGUAAUAAUAAGGUACAAAAAUGGCUUCAUUAGCUGUGACAAAUGGACCAUAAUAAUGAGAUGUUCACACCAGGGGAAACUGACUAUGCAGCGGAUGGUAACUCUGUACUACCUUUGCAACUUUUAUGUAAAUUUAAAACUCUUCUAAAAUAAAAUUAUUUAAAAGUAGCACUCAGGAAAGGAUUAAGGAGUGGAAGAAAAAAAUGAUCAACUUUCCAUUUUCCUGGAGUGUUGCCAUGAAAAGGCUGGAGAGAGGGUUUGCAAGGAGGAAUGGGAAACCUCAGAGGCAGCUCCAGAGCCCUCCUCUGUUCCGCAGAACCGGAAUCCCGCGCAGUCCAGGGCUUAGAAAGCCUUUCCACCCCCUUGGACAACCCCAGCCCCACCUCAUUGAUACAUCCUUUCUGGGUCAACAAUCUGUCUUAGACCACCGCCCCGUCCUCUCCAGAGCGGCUC
rnacentral:lncRNA from 1 species